rnacentral:rRNA from 1 species
GACGAACGCUGGCGGCGUGCCUAAUACAUGCAAGUAGAACGCACAGUUUAUACCGUAGCUUGCUACACCAUAGACUGUGAGUUGCGAACGGGUGAGUAACGCGUAGGUAACCUGCCUGGUAGCGGGGGAUAACUAUUGGAAACGAUAGCUAAUACCGCAUAAUAUUGAUUAUUGCAUGAUAAUUGAUUGAACGAUGCUAUUGCAUCACUACCAGAUGGACCUGCGUUGUAUUAGCUAGUAGGUGAGGUAACGGCUCACCUAGGCGACGAUACAUAGCCGACCUGAGAGGGUGAUCGGCCACACUGGGACUGAGACACGGCCCAGACUCCUACGGGAGGCAGCAGUAGGGAAUCUUCGGCAAUGGACGAAAGUCUGACCGAGCAACGCCGCGUGAGUGAAGAAGGUUUUCGGAUCGUAAAGCUCGGUUGUAAGAGAAGAACGGGUGUGAGAGUGGAAAGUUCACACUGUGACGGUAUCUGACCAGAAAGGGACGGCUAACUACGUG